UUGCUUCAGCAGCACAUGUACUAAAACUGGAACGAUAAAGAGAAGAUUGGCACGGUCCCUGAGCAAGGACGGCAGUCAAAUUUGUGAAGCAUUCUAUACUUUC